UGGGGGGAUUUAGCCCAGUUUUGGGGGGGCUCAGCCCAAUUUUGGAGGGGUUUAGCCCAGUUUUGGGGGGGCUCAGCCCAGUUUUAGGGGUUAACCCAGUUUUGGGGGGGCUCAGCCCAAUUUUGGAGGGGUUUAGCCCAUUUUGGGGGGGGCUCAGCCCAGUUUUGGGGGUUAACCCAGGUUUGGGGGGCAGAGCCCAGCCCAGCUGGGCUCAGCCCAACUUCGGGGGUUUAAUCCUGGCUUUGGGGGUGCCAAGGGAGGGGCUGCAGCCCCUGCUGGGCUGAGAAGGGACAAAUUUGGGGUUUUUCCCCCAGAAUGGGCUCUGGGGGGGUCCUGCCCCCCAGACCGAGCAGGAGGGGUUUCAUUUCUCAUUUUUCCACAGGAAAAGGCUGAUUCCCCCUCCCCACCCCAAAAUUCUCCUUCAUCCCCCCCUUUAGGGCCCCCCAACCCUUCAGAGCCUCCCCAGCCCCAUCCCCCCCCAAAUUUAACUAUUUAAUAAUUUAAUUAUAAAUCAAGACAAAAACCCCUGAAUUUCUCUCUCUAAAAUUUUCUAAUUUGUUUUUUUUUUUUUUGAUUCAUGACGAGCAAAAAAAAAAUUCAUUUCAAUCAAGAGAAACAAAAAAAAAGAGCAAAACGGGAUGGAAAUUUUGGGGCGGGGAGGGGGCAAAAUGCUGCAUUAAAUUGUGUUUUAUAUAAUAAAAUUAUCUAUCUAUCUGUCUAUCUAUAUAUAUAUAUAUAUAUAUAUACACAGCAAGAGCUGAAAUGUCCCCAGGGACGGGGGGGACACCGAGCUCGGGGACCCCAAAGGAUGCUCGAGGUGGGGCCACUUUAUUAUAAAUAUUAAUUUUAUUUUCCUUUUUUUCCCUUUUUUGGUUUUUUUUUGUUUUUUUUCCUGCAUCUUUCUAUAUAAUCUAUUAAAGAGAUUCUUUAUCUUCAAGCACUCGCAAAGGUUGCAGCGGUUUUUAUGUGUUUUUUUCCAAUUUUUUUGGUUUUUUUGGUGAGGAUUUUCUCGGGGGUGGGUGGGGGGGAAGGAAAAGGAGUGAGGAAAGGAAGAGAGAGAGAGAGAGAGAGAGAGAGGAAAAAAAAAUAAAGAAAUAUAUGAAAAAAAUAAAUAAAGCACAGAAAAGACAUUCCAUAGAUUGUAACUUUGAUAGUUCUUUAUAAAGUGGGGGGAGAUGAGGAAAAAAAAAUAAAAACUAUGACAAAAAACGACAAAAAAAAAUUAAAAUAAUAAAAAUUGCACUUUGGGGGGGGGCUUUAAAAUAAAAAAAAAAAAAAGAGAGAAAUAAACUAUAUAUUAAAAAUA